rnacentral:lncRNA from 1 species
UGGGGAACAUACAGGUCCGGGGAACCCCAGUUUUAAGACACUUAACAGAGGAGGAGAAUUUCCUACCAGAAACAGCCAGAAUAUUCUUACACUUGUUCCUGAAUCUUUCCUUUCUGAAUCUCUGAGGGAGUGGAGCCUGUUUAUAAAACUUAGGCUGCAUCUGGUCAUUUGUACAUUGUGGAGACAUCAAUAUCGAAUCCAGAAUGGCCUUUGGAAGAUAGGGGUUCCGCAUCUUGGCAUUGAGGUCUCUCCCCUGCCGGAAUCAUCUAGAAUGGCCUACGUUCAAAGGUAUGGCCUCUGAGCCAGAAAAUUCAGCAGUGCUCAGUGAGGAGAAAGGCCCCUUCAAAAAUGAGGUAAGGCCUGUAGAAAAGGCCUCCAGGGUUGAGUCACCCUGGGCACCAGGCCGAGCUCCUGCAGCUGCAGCCGGGUGGGCCUGUAGGCCAUGAGGCUGCUGUAGGGAGCUGGUGCUCCCUUAUGGGGUCUCAUGGGGACCAAGAGAUCCUGUGGGGCCACGGCUCUCCGGGUACUGUGAUAGGGCUGCAGCCUUGGAACCACGGGUGGGAUGGGGGCCAGGGGACUGCCCGGCCCUGAAGACGUGGAUAGACUCCGGUUGUGGGUGUUGCUGCCAGUCGACAGGCUGCUGAAGGGGUUGGAGGAGGUGCGGUCACUGGCAGAGUCACUGCUGCCACUGAGGCGGCCAUUGGGGGCUUCUGGGCCCUUGCUGGAUUGGAGUGGGGCGACCAGCCUCGGGGACUUCAGACCCAUCAGGGGCUUGGAGGAG